GUCUCGACAUCCACCAUGAAGAUCUCACUCUCCAUAUUCCUGCUACUGAUCAGCUUCAUCAGUGUGAAAUGUGAAAGUCUCGAGUCAUUACAAACCACAGUGCUAAAGAAACCUGGAGAAACACUGAGUCUCUCCUGCAGAGGAUCUGGGUUUACUUUUGGAAGCUAUAACAUGCACUGGAUCAGACAGCAGGAGAACAAACCACUGCAACACAGACCAAGAGCUUUUACUGAUUCUGCUUCAACACACACCAUGAUCUCUACAUCACUACUGCUGCUGCUGCUGGCAGCCGUACACUGUGGUCUCUGUGUUGAGCUGAUCCAGACCAGAUCCACAGUAUUAACCCCUGGUCAGUCACUGACUCUGACCUGUAAAGUGUCUGGAUAUUCAGUAACUGAUAGCAGCUACUGUACAGGUGGGAUACGACAACCUGCAGGAAAAACUCUGGAAUGGAUCGGAUACAUAUGUGGUAGCGGUAACACUUACUACAGUGAGAAACUGAAAAGUAGGUUUCAGGUUACCAGAGACACGUCCAGCAGCACAGUAACAUUAACAGGACAGAACAUGCAGACUGAAGACACAGCUGUGUAUUACUGCGCUCGUGACACACAGUGAUACACA